rnacentral:rRNA from 1 species
CGCUGGCGGCAGGCUUAACACAUGCAAGUCGAGCGGUAACAGGGGGUGCUUGCACCCCGCUGACGAGCGGCGGACGGGUGAGUAAUGCAUAGGAAACUGCCCAGUAGUGGGGGAUAGCCCGGGGAAACCCGGAUUAAUACCGCGUACGCCCUUCGGGGGAAAGCAGGGGAUCUUCGGACCUUGCGCUAUUGGAUGUGCCUAUGUCGGAUUAGCUAGUUGGUGGGGUAAAGGCCUACCAAGGCGACGAUCCGUAGCUGGUCUGAGAGGAUGAUCAGCCACAUCGGGACUGAGACACGGCCCGAACUCCUACGGGAGGCAGCAGUGGGGAAUAUUGGACAAUGGGGGCAACCCUGAUCCAGCCAUGCCGCGUGUGUGAAGAAGGCUUUCGGGUUGUAAAGCACUUUCAGUGAGGAGGAAAACUCUGCGACUAAUACUCGUAGGGCUUGACGUUACUCACAGAAGAAGCACCGGCUAACUCCGUGCCAGCAGCCGCGGUAAUACGGAGGGUGCAAGCGUUAAUCGGAAUUACUGGGCGUAAAGCGCGCGUAGGUGGUUUGAUAAGCGAGAUGUGAAAGCCCCGGGCUUAACCUGGGAACGGCAUUUCGAACUGUCAGGCUAGAGUAUGGUAGAGGGUAGUGGAAUUUCCUGUGUAGCGGUGAAAUGCGUAGAUAUAGGAAGGAACACCAGUGGCGAAGGCGGCUACCUGGACCAAUACUGACACUGAGGUGCGAAAGCGUGGGGAGCAAACAGG